UACGGAGGGUGCGAGCGUUGUCCGGAAUCAUUGGGCGUAAAGCGCGUGUAGACGGUCCGGUAAGUCGGCUGUGAAAGUCAAGGGCUCAACCCUUGAAUGCCGGCCGAUACUGCCGGACUAGAGUCCGGAAGAGGCGAGUGGAAUUCCCGGUGUAGCGGUGAAAUGCGCAGAUAUCGGGAGGAACACCAAUGGCGAAGGCAGCUCGCUGGGACGGUACUGACGCUGAGACGCGAAAGCGUGGGGAGCAAACAGGAUUAGAUACCCGUGUAGU
rnacentral:rRNA from 1 species